GUGCAGCCAGUUUACACAAUCAGGCUGAUCCAGACGUUGCAGCACGACCACCAAGCCAACAGUGGCAGGAUUUUACCUAAUAUGCAAAAUGCAACAUUCACAAGACUCUUACAGACAUGUAGACACAUUAUUGACACGUUUAUCCAGCUGGGUGGAUUUUAUUUGGGACAUCAGUGAUUUAAUGUUCGACAAGUUGGUGGUAUAAGGAGAAGUUGGUUUAUGAGAUAAUUGUAAGGAAAUAUACAACAUAAGGAGAUUUUUCUUCAACUUUCAAACUCCUCUCAUCCUGAAUUCAUCAGUGAGAAGAAGCUGGAAAUACAAAACCAUCCCAGAACUGUUUGGUGAGACCUUGGACUGCAGGCGGUAGACCCAUCUGGUCAUAGCUGAC